rnacentral:misc_RNA from 1 species
GUGAGUCUUGUAAAUCAGAGAAACCAUUGGAGUGCAGCGAAUUCGAUCAGAAGGGCAUUCUUGACUGUGGGAAUUCUAAAUUGACCAAGCCCUUAAGGCAUGAUGAGAGUAUAGAUACAGAUGUUGGCUUCGUUGUUGAGAACUUCUACCCUGAGAACCCUAAAUGGUUUGAUUCAUCCUGUGAACUGGACUCCGGCGCAGAUUGUGUUGACAGCGGAUUCAAGCCUGGGGGGCUUGUUUAGAGAUCUUACAGCUGGUGACCCACUCUAACUUAAUUAUAGUCCUCCUUGUUCCAUUUUUCAUACUAUAAUGUUAGAUGUGGG